rnacentral:rRNA from 1 species
UACGAGGGGGGCGAGCGUUGUUCGGAAUCAUUGGGCGUAAAGGGUAUGUAGGCGGUGCGGUAAGUCUGGUGUGAAAUCCCCGAGCUUAACUCGGGUCCCGCGCCAGAGACUGCCGUGCUAGAGUGUGGGAGAGGAAAGUGGAAUUUCCGGUGUAGCGGUGAAAUGCGUAGAUAUCGGAAGGAACACCUGUGGCGAAAGCGGCUCACUGGACCAUAACUGACGCUGAGGCGCGAAAGCUAGGGGAGCAAACAGG